rnacentral:snoRNA from 1 species
UAUGAUACUUUUAGGGAUCAUUUCUACAGUUCGUUACUAGAAAAGUUUCUCUGAUCAUGUAGAGCACUGGAAACCAUGAGUAGGAGACAGCAUUUUCUCCUGAGCAUGAAGCCGACUUUUGGUGUUGCUUCAAUGCAACUGCCAUUUGCCAUUGAUGAUCGUUCUUCCCUUCUUUUGCAGGGAGCAAGAGGGAGAAGAUGCAGCCUGAGUGCG